rnacentral:rRNA from 1 species
CUUGACUGUAUCCUGGAAUUGGGUUCGGGCUUUUCUUGCGCAGCCUAGGUGGGAGGCUAUGAAGAUUUCCUUCCGGGGAAGUUGGAGCCAUCAGUGAGAGACCACUCUGGAGAGGCUAGAAUCCUAAUGGUGAUCCUUGAAUCAGGACACUUGACAGUUUCAGGUGGGCAGUUUUUCUGGGGCGGAAGCCUCAUAAAGGGUAACUGAGGCGCGCAAAGGUCCCCUCAGUCUGGACGGAGAUCAGACAACGAGUGUAAAGGCAAAAGGGGGCUUGACUGCAAGACCUACAAGUCGAGCAGGAGCGAAAGCUGGCCUUAGUGAUCCGACGGUAUGCGCGUGGAAGUGCCGUCGCUAAACGGAUAAAAGUUA